rnacentral:lncRNA from 1 species
AAAUUAUUUUCAUGGUUUUGUUGGAAACCCAAAUUAUUUUCACGGUUUUGUUGAAAUUGCAGGCUUAUCUUUGUGGUUUUGUUUGAAAGCCGGGUUUAUUUUAUGGUUUUGUUCAAGUUCUGGGCUUAUCUUCACGGUUUUGGUUGAAAUCCAGGCUUAUCGUCACGGUUUUGUUCAAAAUUUGGGCUUUUCACCCCAGUUUUGCUCGAAAUCCAGAUUUAUUUUACAGUUUCGUUCAAGUGCUGGGCUUAUCUUCACGCUCUUGUUUGAAAUCUGCAUUUAUUUUUGUGGUUUCAUUCAAAUUCUGGGCUUUCCAUCCCAAUUUUGUUUGAAAUCCAGGUUUAUUUUACAGUUUUCUUCAAGUUCUGGACUUACAUUCAUGGUUUUGGUCAAAAUCCACAUUUAUUAUCAUGGUUUUAUUCAAGUUCUGGGCUUUUCAUCCCAAUUUUGUUCAAAAUCCGGGUUUAUUUUCAUGUUUUUUUUCAAGUUUUUGGCUUGUCUUCAUGGUUUUCUUCAAAAUCUGGGUUUAUCUUCACAGUUUUAUUCAAAUCUGGGCUUUCCAUCCCACUUUUGUUCGAAAUCUGGGUUUCUUUUCACAGUUUUAUUGGAAAUCCAGGCUUAUAUUCAUGGUUUUAUUCAAAAUCUGGGUUUAUCUUCACGGUUUUCUUCAAAUUCUGGGCUUUCCACCCCAGAUUUCCUCGAAAUCCAAGUUUAUUUUACAGUUUCGUUCAAGUUCUGGGCUUAUAUUCGCGGUUUUGGUCAAAAUCCACAUUUAUUUUCAUGGUUUCAUUCAAAUUCUGGGCUUAUCUUCACAGUUUUGUUCAAAUUCUGGGCUUUCCAUCCCAAUUUUGUCCAAAAUCCGGGUUUAUUUUACAGAUUUGUUCAAGUUCUGGACGUUUAUUCGCAGUUAUGGUCGAAAUCCAGGUUUAUUUUCAUGGUUCUAUUCAAAUUCUGGGCUUUCCAUCCCAAUUUUGUUCGAAAUCUGGGUUUAUUUUCAUAUUUUCAUGUUUUGUUUUUUUUUGUUGUUGUUGUUGUUUUUCAAGUUCUGGGCUUGUCUUCACGGUUUUGUUCAAAAUCCGGGCGUUCCAUCCCAGUUUUAUUUGAAAUCCAGGCUUAUAUUCACAGUUUUAUUCAAAAUCUGGGCUUUCCAUCCCAAUUUUUUUACAAAAUCCAGGUUUAUUUUAAUGGUUUCCUUCAAAUUCUGGGCUAAUCUUCACGGUUUUGUUCAAAAUCUGGGCUUAACUUCACGGUUUUCUUCAAAUUCUGGGCUUUCCAUCCCAGAUUUCCUCGAAAUCCAGGUUUAUUUUACAGUUUCGUUCAAGUUCUGGGCUUAUAUUUGUGGUUUUAGUCAAAAUCCACGUUUAUUUUCAUGGUUUCAUUCAAAUUCUGGGCUUAUCUUCACAGUUUUGUUCAAAUUCUGGGCUUUCCAUCCCAAUUUUGUCCAAAAUCCGGGUUUAUUUUACAGUUUUCUUCAAGUUCUGGACUUUUAUUCAUGA